rnacentral:rRNA from 1 species
AAUGAACGCUGGCGGCAGGCCUAAAACAUGCAAGUCGAACGCCUGUAGCAAUACAGGAGUGGCGCACGGGUGCGUAACACGUGGGAAUAUGCCUAUUGGUACGGAACAGCUCCGGGAAACUGGAAUUGAUACCGUAUGGUCCCUUCGGGGUAAAGAUUUAUCGCCAAUAGAUUAGCCCGCGGUGGAUUAGCUAGUUGGUAGGGUAAUGGCCUACCAAGGCGACGAUCCAUAGCUGGUCUGAGAGGACGAUCAGCCACACUGGGACUGAGACACGGCCCAGACUCCUACGGGAGGCAGCAGUUAGGAAUAUUGGACAAUGGGCGCAAGCCUGAUCCAGCCAUGCCGCGUGAGUGAUGAAGGCCUUCGGGUUGUAAAACUCUUUAGCUGAUGAAUAUAAUGACUGUAGUCGGAAAAUAAGCCCCGGCUAACUUCGUGCCAGCCGCCGCCGUAA